rnacentral:rRNA from 1 species
CGCCUGUUUACCAAAAACAUCGCCUCUUGCAAAUCAAAGCAUAAGAGGUCCCGCCUGCCCUGUGACUAUGGGUUUAACGGCCGCGGUAUUUUGACCGUGCGAAGGUAGCGCAAUCACUUGUCUUUUAAAUGAAGACCUGUAUGAAUGGCAUCACGAGGGCUUAGCUGUCUCCUCUCCCAAGUCAAUGAAAUUGAUCUGCCCGUGCAGAAGCGGACAUAAAUACAUAAGACGAGAAGACCCUAUGGAGCUUUAGACACCAGGCAGAUCACGUCAAGUAACCUUAAAUUAACAAGUAGAAACGCAGUGACCCCUAGCCCAUAUGUCUUUGGUUGGGGCGACCGCGGGGGAAAAUAAAGCCCCCAUGUGGACUGGGGGCACUGCCCCCACAGCCGAGAGCUACAGCUCUAAGCACCAGAAUUUCUGACCAAAAAUGAUCCGGCGAACGCCGAUCAACGGACCGAGUUACCCUAGGGAUAACAGCGCAAUCCUCUCCCAGAGUCCCUAUCGACGAGGGGGUUUACGACCUCGAUGUUGGAUCAGGACAUCCUAAUGGUGCAGCCGCUAUUAAGGGUUCGUUUGUUCAACGAUUAAAGUCCUACGUGAUCUGAGUUCAGACCGG